rnacentral:rRNA from 1 species
GACGAACCGUGCAAACGUUGUUCGGAUUCACUGGGCUUAAAGGGCGCGUAGGCGGACGGUCAAGUCGGGGGGUGAAUCUUUCAGCUUAACUGGAAAAGUGCCUCCGAUACUGAUCGUCUCGAGGGAGGUAGGGGCAUGUGGAACUUCCGGUGGAGCGGUGGAAAUGCGGUAGAUAGUCGGAAAGAACACCAACGGCGAAAGACUCUGCUGGGCCGACACUGACACUGAGAGACGAAAGCGUAGGGGAGCGAAUGGG